rnacentral:rRNA from 1 species
UAGUCCACGCCGUAAACGAUGUCUACUUGGAGGUUGUUCCCUUGAGGAGUGGCUUUCGGAGCUAACGCGUUAAGUAGACCGCCUGGGGAGUACGGUCGCAAGAUUAAAACUCAAAUGAAUUGACGGGGGCCCGCACAAGCGGUGGAGCAUGUGGUUUAAUUCGAAGCAACGCGCAGAACCUUACCUACCCUUAACAUUUCACGACGUAUACAGAGAUGUAUAUUUCUCUUCGGAGACGUGAGGAUAGGUGCUGCAUGGCUGUCGUCAGCUCGUGUCGUAAGAUGUCUGGUUAAGUCCAAUAACGAGCGCAACCCUUAUCCUUAGUUACCAGCAUUAAGUUGGGGACUCUAGGGAGACUGCCGGUGUUAAACCGGAGGAAGGCGAGGAUGACGUCAAGUCCUCACGGCCCUUACGGGUAGGGCUACACACGUACUACAAUGGCGACCAUAAUGGGAUAAUCCCCAAAAGUCGUCUCAGUUCAGAUUGUCUGCUGCAACUCGCAGGCAUGAAGUUGGAAUCGCUAGU